AGCAUUUUGCUAUUUUUGGCUACGAGCCAAGUAUAAUAUCCGUCCUUAUCAUUUUAAUCUGUGAUCCGUGAUUUAUCAAUCACAAUAAAACUAUUUUACUUUUGAAAAGUACAUCAGUUCAUAGGAGCUUGCUUCUUGCUUUCAUCCAGAUGGCCCGAUAUUGCACCUGUCUCCGGGGUUUGGCCGAAUUUAA
rnacentral:snRNA from 1 species